rnacentral:misc_RNA from 2 species
CCGAGUUUACAACUCCCAAACCCCUGUGAACAUACCUGUUUUGUUGCUUCGGCGGUGCCCUCGCUCUCGCGGCGAGGCCCGCCAGAGGACCCAAACAAACUCUUUGACUUUGAUCUAGGAUUAUACUUCUGAGUGAUACAAAAAAUAAAAUCA